rnacentral:rRNA from 1 species
UACGGAGGGGGCUAGCGUUGUUCGGAAUUACUGGGCGUAAAGCGCACGUAGGCGGCUUUGCAAGUUAGAGGUGAAAGCCCGGGGCUCAACUCCGGAAUUGCCUUUAAAACUGCAUCGCUAGAAUUGUGGAGAGGUAAGUGGAAUUCCGAGUGUAGAGGUGAAAUUCGUAGAUAUUGGGAAGAACACCGGUGGCGAAGGCGGCUAUCUGGACUGUGAUUGACGCUGAGGCGCGAAAGCGUGGGGAGCAAACAGG